rnacentral:SRP_RNA from 1 species
AACCUGGUCAGGCCCGGAAGGGAGCAGCCAUAGCGGGAACAUCGAGUGCCGGGGUGUGGCUGGUGGGG